CGUUUGGACGUAAAAAAAAAAAAAAAAAAAAAAAAAAAAAAAAAAUAGUGACUUUAGAAUUAUAUCUUAUAUAACCAGCAUUACUCUAGUUGUUUGGUACUUAUUUGGUAACCAACGUACCUAUUGCUCUUACUAGCAAUACGAUACGUAUGUAUAAUACGAUAAUACGAUAUGUAUACACGUAUUUAAUAACAAUAAUACGAUAUGUAUGCAAAAAUUAAUUUAAUAUACAAUAUAAUAAAUUAAUACGAUAUGUAUUUAAUAUCAUAACGAUGUUGUAACUUAUACUCUGAACUCCAUAUAGUAUAUUGCAAUAUAAAGAUUUACAAGUUGUCCUUAAAGUAUUAUAAAAUGUAUGUAUUAUGCGUUAUCUAUUAUCAUGCUGCAAGCAUAUCUUCGUUUAUUGUAUUGUAAAGAUGAUCUAUCUAUGUACCAUAAAUUAAUAUAUGUAUCUCCUUCACAAUCGUUUAUUGUAUUGUAAAGAUGACCUUCAUUAUGUACUCAUCAUAUCAGAUAACAAUAAUGAAAAUGGUUUAUAUAAAAAAUGUUAUUUUUGUUAUUUAAAUAGCUUUGUUAAACUAAUGCAACGUAUUUGAUGUAAUAUGUAUCUAAUUCGUAGGUGUUUCAAUAAGGUCUUCAGUGUAAUGAAACCCUGAAAAUCCUUACCUGCUAUAUGUUUUAUUAUUAUUAUCUAAGCAAGAGAUGUCUUCGGUUAAUGUAUACUUUGUAUACAUGUAUCAGCUGCAGUAACGAAAGAUGUUCAGGACUCCAAGACUUAUCAACUUUAUUAGAAGUAUGACCAUUAAGAACACGAUAUCAUGAAAGAAACCUCAUCAAGAUGUACUUUAUUUUUCGUGCUUGGAUUUCAAAACAGAAACUGCUGUAACCUGACGGAAAUAUUUGUUGCAAGCCUCCUGCAGGAAAGUUCCAUUGGAAUAAAUGAAUGCCUG